rnacentral:rRNA from 1 species
AGAAUUGAACUGAAGAGUUUGAUCCUGGCUCAGAUUGAACGCUGGCGGUAUGCUUAACACAUGCAAGUCGAACGGAAACGAUGGAAGCUUGCUUCCAGGCGUCGAGUGGCGGACGGGUGAGUAACGCGUAGGAAUCUGCCUGAUAGUGGGGGAUAGCCCG